UAGGGAAUCUUCCACAAUGGACGCAAGUCUGAUGGAGCAACGCCGCGUGAGUGAAGAAGGUCUUCGGAUCGUAAAACUCUGUUGUAAGAGAAGAACGUGUGUGAGAGUGGAAAGUUCACACAGUGACGGUAACUUACCAGAAAGGGACGGCUAACUACGUGCCGA
rnacentral:rRNA from 1 species